rnacentral:rRNA from 1 species
UACAGAGGGUGCGAGCGUUGUUCGGAAUUACUGGGCGUAAAGCGCGCGCAGGCGGCCUUUUAAGUCUACCCGUGAAAUGCCGGAGCUCAACUCCGUGCACGCCGGGGGAUAUUGGGAGGCUGGAGACAGGUAGAGGCAAGCGGAAUUCCGGGUGUAGCGGUGGAAUGCGUAGAUAUCCGGAAGAACACCUGAGGCGAAGGCGGCUUGCUGGGCCUGAUCUGACGCUGAGGCGCGAAAGCGUGGGGAGCAAACAGG